UGGGAUCAUCAUGGAUUGGGAUGCAUUUUGAUAAUAAGAUAUUAGGUAUUGAUAUGUGAUAUGUAUGUCACACUUGACUUCAUCAUCCUUUGUUUUUAGAUGUAUUCUUUAGGCAUACAUUAAUGUGGUAGCUUGGUCAUAUUAUUUAGCUAAUUUAGUCACUAAAUACUCGGAUUUUUUCCCGACUCCCAUUAUAAAGAACUUCCACUUGCCAUCUCUAUAUGAAUUUUCUUUUUGCUACCGAUUUUGGCUAAAGGUUUUUUGGCUCUCAUCUCUAUAUGGAUAUGUUUUUUUAAGGUUAGUAGUUUAGAAGUUCCUGCCAACACUGGUUUUUCGAAGUUAUACUCCCUUCACCAGUUGGGCUUAACAAGGACAUAAUUAAUUCUCUGUUGGUAAUUAGAAGGAAAAAAAUCUGGUUGGAGAAAACUUCUCUUUUGCUUAAUUGUUUACUUCAUAAUUUUAGUAAAAAAAAUCAUUUUUUUCAGGUUAGUAGUAUGGGAGUACCUGUCAAGACUGACUUUUGGAAGUUAUGCUAGCCUCAUCAGUUGGGCUUUCUAUACAAAACUAGACUCAAUAUAAUUUAUUUUGGUGCUUGCGAUGAGUAUUAGACAGAGGGGUGAUGACCACAUAGUUCACCCAGUGUAUCUGUUCAUGUAUGUCAUUAAUUAUCUAAUUAGACAAAAAAAACUCUCUCUGUAUGGUGUUUGUGAUGAUGCUGUCAAUUUACUAAACACUAAAAUACCAGGUUGUUAUUUUCAAAUCUAGCAAAUUAAUUUUCUCUAUUGCUUCUUUUCCAGGCAGAAGUUUUAGUCUAUUAUGUUCCAUGAGUCUUACUGUCAAAA
rnacentral:lncRNA from 1 species